rnacentral:rRNA from 1 species
GACGAGCGCUGGCGGCGUGCCUAAUACAUGCAAGUAGAACGCACAGUUUAUACCGUAGCUUGCUACACCAUAGACUGUGAGUUGCGAACGGGUGAGUAACGCGUAGGUAACCUGCCUGGUAGCGGGGGAUAACUAUUGGAAACGAUAGCUAAUACCGCAUAAUAUUAAUUAUUGCAUGAUAAUUAAUUGAAAGGUGCAAUUGCACCACUACCAGAUGGACCUGCGUUGUAUUAGCUAGUAGGUGAGGUAACGGCUCACCUAGGCGACGAUACAUAGCCGACCUGAGAGGGUGAUCGGCCACACUGGGACUGAGACACGGCCCAGACUCCUACGGGGGGCAGCAGUAGGGAAUCUUCGGCAAUGGACGAAAGUCUGACCGAGCAACGCCGCGUGAGUGAAGAAGGUUUUCGGAUCGUAAAGCUCUGUUGUAAGAGAAGAACGGGUGUGAGAGUGGAAAGUUCACACUGUGACGGUAUCUUACCAGAAAGGGACGGCUAACUACGUG